rnacentral:rRNA from 1 species
UACGUAGGGUGCAAGCGUUAAUCGGAAUUACUGGGCGUAAAGCGUGCGCAGGCGGUUUUGUAAGUCAGAUGUGAAAUCCCCGGGCUUAACCUGGGAACUGCGUUUGAAACUACAAGGCUAGAGUGUGGCAGAGGGGGGGUGGAAUUCCACGUGUAGCAGUGAAAUGCGUAGAGAUGUGGAGGAACACCGAUGGCGAAGGCAGCCCCCCUGGGUUAACACUGACGCUCAGGCACGAAAGCGUGGGGAGCAAACAGG